rnacentral:rRNA from 1 species
UACGUAGGGGGCAAGCGUUGUCCGGAUUUAUUGGGCGUAAAGAGCUCGUAGGUGGUUCGGUAAGUCGGAUGUGAAAUCUCCAGGCUCAACCUGGAGGGGUCAUUCGAUACUGCCGUGACUAGAGUUCGGUAGGGGAGUGUGGAAUUCCUGGUGGAGCGGUGAAAUGCGCAGAUAUCAGGAGGAACACCCGUAGCGAAGGCGGUUCUCUGGGCCUGUACUGACGCUGAGGAACGAAAGCGUGGGGAGCGAACAGG